rnacentral:misc_RNA from 1 species
AAGAAGCUGCAAAUAAUGAGAUUGGUCAGCUUACUACUUUCCUCGUGGGAGAAGCACAGGAUAAAAGCUAUCUUCAAGAGGAAUUGGAGGAUUUAAAUCAUAAAUAUGCAGUGCUUGCCCAGAAAGAGCAUCAGGCUUCAGUGGAUAAGGAUAGAAUCAUCAGUAUGCUUCUAGAGGCUUCUAAGAUCAACUCACAUGAUCAAGAAUUGGUCUAUCAAAG